rnacentral:rRNA from 1 species
CAGCCGCCGCGGUAAUACGAAGGGUGCAAGCGUUAAUCGGAAUUACUGGGCGUAAAGCGUGCGUAGGCGGUUUGUUAAGUCUGCUGUGAAAUCCCCGGGCUCAACCUGGGAAUGGCAGUGGAUACUGGCAAGCUAGAGUGUGUCAGAGGAUGGUGGAAUUCCCGGUGUAGCGGUGAAAUGCGUAGAGAUCGGGAGGAACAUCAGUGGCGAAGGCGGCCAUCUGGGACAACACUGACGCUGAGGCACGAAAGCGUGGGGAGCAAACAGUAUUAGAUACCCCCGUAGUCCCUGUCUCUUAUAC